GACGAACGCUGGCGGCGGGCUUAACACAUGCAAGUCGAACGAAGUGGCGAACGGGUGAGUAAUACGUGGGUAACCUGCCCUCCUUUUUGGGAUAAGCCUUGGAAACGGGGUCUAAUACCGAAUCAAGGGGGAGGGGCUAGGGGCCUAUCAGCUGGUUGGGGGGGUGAUGGCCUACGAAGGCGGUGACGGGUAGCCGGCCUGAGAGGGUGACCGGGCAGAUUGGGGCGGAGUGACGGCCCAGGCACCGACGGGAGGCAGCAGUGGGGGAUAUUGCACAAUGGGCGAAAGCCGGAUGCAGGUACGCCGCGUGGGGGAUGGAGGCUUUCGGGUUGUAAACCUCUGUCGCUAUCGAAAGGUUAGGUAGAGAAGAAGCGCCGGCUAACUACGUGCCAGCCGCCGCGGUAAUAC
rnacentral:rRNA from 1 species